GAUGAACGCUGGCGGCGUGCUUAACACAUGCAAGUCGAACGGUGAAGGCGGAGCUUGCUCUGCUGGAUCAGUGGCGAACGGGUGAGUAACACGUGAGCAAUCUGCCCCUGACUCUGGGAUAAGCGCUGGAAACGGCGUCUAAUACUGGAUACGAGCUGCGAAGGCAUCUUCAGCAGCUGGAAAGAACUUCGGUCAGGGAUGAGCUCGCGGCCUAUCAGCUUGUUGGUGAGGUAACGGCUCACCAAGGCGUCGACGGGUAGCCGGCCUGAGGGGGUGACCGGCCACACUGGGACUGAGACACGGCCCAGACUCCUACGGGAGGCAGCAGUGGGGAAUAUUGCACAAUGGGCGAAAGCCUGAUGCAGCAACGCCGCGUGAGGGACGACGGCCUUCGGGUUGUAAACCUCUUUUAGCAGGGAAGAAGCGAAAGUGACGGUACCUGCAGAAAAAGCGCCGGCUAACUACGUG
rnacentral:rRNA from 1 species